rnacentral:rRNA from 1 species
UACAGAGGUCUCAAGCGUUGUUCGGAUUCAUUGGGCGUAAAGGGUGCGUAGGCGGAUUGUUAAGUCGGGGGUGAAAUCCUGGAGCUCAACUCCAGAACUGCCUUCGAUACUGGCGAUCUCGAGUUCGGGAGAGGUGAGUGGAACUGCGAGUGUAGAGGUGAAAUUCGUAGAUAUUCGCAAGAACACCAGUGGCGAAGGCGGCUCACUGGCCCGAUACUGACGCUGAGGUGCGAAAGCGUGGGGAGCAAACAGG